GACGAACGCUGGCGGCGUGCUUAACACAUGCAAGUCGAACGGAAAGGCCCUGCUUUUGUGGGGUGCUCGAGUGGCGAACGGGUGAGUAACACGUGAGUAACCUGCCCUUGACUUUGGGAUAACUUCAGGAAACUGGGGCUAAUACCGGAUAGGAGCUCCUGCUGCAUGGUGGGGGUUGGAAAGUUUCGGCGGUUGGGGAUGGACUCGCGGCUUAUCAGCUUGUUGGUGGGGUAGUGGCUUACCAAGGCUUUGACGGGUAGCCGGCCUGAGAGGGUGACCGGCCACAUUGGGACUGAGAGACGGCCCAGACUCCUACGGGAGGCAGCAGUGGGGAAUAUUGCACAAUGGGCGGAAGCCUGAUGCAGCAACGCCGCGGGCGGGAUGACGGCCUUCGGGGUGUAAACCGCUUUCGCCUGUGACGAAGCGUGAGUGACGGUAAUGGGUAAAGAAGCACCGGCUAACUACGUG
rnacentral:rRNA from 1 species